rnacentral:snoRNA from 1 species
CCUGCCACUGUACCUGCCCUCAACUCCGUGGCUGGUGCGUUCCAGUGGUGAGCUGAGAGCACGCCCCAGCCCAGGAAGCAGCCCUCUCCUCCUUGUGGGGAGGCCUGUGCCGAAAGGUUGGGAACAGGU